CACAAAUGGGCGGCCAUUGGAUGUGGGACACGCCAAGAACUGGCAGCCAUUGGAGAUUUGGACAACCCAAGAUGGCGGCUAUUGGUGACACAAGAUGGCGGCCAUUGGGUUUGGACACCCAAGAUGGCGGCCAUUGGUGACACAAGAUGGCGGCCAUUGGCUUUGGACACCCAAGAUGGCGGCCAUUGGAUUUGGACACCCAAGAUGGCGGCUAUUGGUGACACAAGAUGGCGGCCAUUGAACAUGGACACUCAAGAUGGCGGCAUUGAAAAUUGGAAUAUUAGCUUUGGGGACAACAAGAUGGCGGCCAUUGGUGACACAAGAUGGCGGCCAUUGGCUUUGGACACCCAAGAUGGCGGCCAUUGCCAUUGGAUAUUGGCUUUGGUGACACAAGAUGGCGGCCAUUGGCUUUGGACACCCAAGAUGGCGGCCAUUGGUGACACAAGAUGGCAGCCAUUGGCUUUGGACACUGAAGAUGGCGGCCAAUGGACCCAUCAGAAAGCCAAUAUGGUCAUAAAUUGGACCCAAUCGAGAAACCAAUUGGACCCAUCAGAACCCUUGGGACCCAUCAGAACCCAUUGGACCCAUCAGAACCAAUAUUGGGUCAGCAUUGGACCCAUCAGAACCAAUUGGACCCAUCAGAACCCAUUGGGACCCAUCAGAACCCAUUGGGACCCAUCAGAACCCAUUGGGACCCAUCAGAACCCAUUGGACCCAUCAGAACCCAUUGGGACCCAUCAGAACCCAUUGGGACCCAUCAGAACCAAUUGGAACGCCAUCAGACCCCUUGGGACCCAUCAGGAACCCAUUGACCCAAUCAGAACCCAAUUGGACCCAUCAGAAACCCAUUGGGACCCAUCAGAACCCUCUGGGACCCAUUCAGAACCACUAUUGGGUCCAGUAAUUGGACCCAUCAGAACCAUUGACCAAUCAGAACCAUUGGACCCUCAGACCCAUGGACAUCAGAACCCAUUGGA
rnacentral:lncRNA from 1 species